rnacentral:rRNA from 1 species
CCUACGGGAGGCAGCAGUGGGGAAUAUUGCACAAUGGGGGAAACCCUGAUGCAGCGACGCCGCGUGAGUGAAGAAGUAGUUCGGUACGUAAAGCUCUAUCAGCAGGGAAGAAAAUGACGGUACCUGACUAAGAAGCCCCGGCUAACGACGUGCCAGCAGCCGCGGUAAUACGUAGGGGGCAAGCGUUAUCCGGAUUUACUGGGUGUAAAGGGAGCGUAGACGGCAGCGCAAGUCUGGAGUGAAAUCCCAUGGCUUAACCAUGGAACUGCUUUGGAAACUGUGCAGCUAGAGUGCAGGAGAGGUAAGCGGAAUUCCUAGUGUAGCGGUGAAAUGCGUAGAUAUUAGGAGGAACACCAGUGGCGAAGGCGGCUUACUGGACUGUAACUGACGUUGAGGCUCGAAAGCGUGGGGAGCAAACAGGAUUAGAUACCCUUGUAGUC